GCGGCGCUGGCUUCGCGGCCGGGCUCGUGAUGCCUCGGGGCUUCGGCCCCGGGGCACGCGGCCCCCGCGUUGCGUCCGGCGUCGUCGGCGUGCACUUCUCCCCUAGUAGGACGUCGCGACCCGUUGGGUGUCGACCUAAGGCCCGGGUGGGCGCCUGUCGCGUCUCGCUUAAACGCUUGCGCGGCAAACCCCCGGUCGCCAGACGUGUCGGCUGCCCGGCGGUACUCGCAUGGUAUCGGGCCGCAAAUUAUUCGAACUGCGUCGAGGCGCGGUCCCAACGGCGGUCAGCGAUCUACGCGUUGGUACGGACAUAGCGCCGUCCUCGUGCCUGGCAUGCCGUUGGCAGAACCUGCGUCCUUCGACGGGCCAACACCUAAAAAUGUCGAAAGUGUGAUACCGGUCGGCGACGCUACUGCUUUGGGUAAUCUCGGGACCCGUCUUGAAACACGGACCAAGGAGUCUAACAUGUGCGCGAGUCAUUGGGACCGAGCAAGCCUAAAGGCGAAAUGAAAGUGAAGGUCGGCCAUUCGCGCCGACCGAGGGAGGAUGGGCCGCGUCACGAUGCGGCUCCGCACUCCCGGGGCGUCUCGCUCUCAUCGCGAGGAGAGGCGCACCCAGAGCGUACACGUUGGGACCCGAAAGAUGGUGAACUAUGCCUGGUCAGGACGAAGUCAGGGGAAACCCUGAUGGAGGUCCGUAGCGAUU
rnacentral:rRNA from 1 species